GGGCACAUGGUGUAGUUGGUUAUCACGCUCGCUUAGCAUAGGACUUCCUGACCGUGCGAGAGGUGUUGGGUUCAAUUCCCAAUGUGUCCA